UUUUCUAUAUUCAUUUUUUUUUCUUUUGCUCGUUCGACGCAAAUAAAGCGGAGACGGAGAGCAGAAAUAGCUCUGAUACGGAUACGUCGAUGUUUAGUGCGUCCGGUUGAAUAACCUAAAAAGAAAUAAAACUGCAGAUUUGUGCGGAUAUAUAGUGAUAAAUAUAAAUGGAGAACAGUGCACCGUCAUCUAAUCGAGAAUGUCGAUGGAAAUAGAGAAGGUCGACAGAUUCAUAAUGUCAGGGCAGAAAAUGAUAGUAAUA
rnacentral:lncRNA from 13 species